GGGAAGAUGGGGGAGGCAGCACACUGGGGUCAGGAGUGGAGAUACUUAGGCUCCCCAGAGAAAUUAGUCACAAGUCUUAUCCCUUCAUCUCCAUUUACAGCCAUUUAUUUGGGAGCAACAUACUUUAAAUGAGUGAUAAACAAAAUGUCUCCCCACAGCCCCCACCCCAGCAUGUGUUCUGAAGUUCACAGGAAGGCUUCUCCUCAUUUGCUUUGGGGCCCGCAGGCUGCCUGCUAACAGCUGGGUCUUCCCAUGAACAAAUUAGACAGUUAAUGUUCCAGGAUGAAGAGGGCUUCGGGGAACAGAAUCUGCCGUUUAUUUGACUUGCUUCAUUAGACACAGUGCCAUCAUACCAAAAUUAGAAAAAAGAAGGAACUCAGCGGAAAUCAGCUACACAAGAAGAACCUCUCAGUUCUGAGAAUUCACAUUAACCAGUGAUUAAGAAAUAUUAAAAAGGUAUAGUUCUUGGCUGUGCUGAGGAUCUGUAAGGCACCAGAUGUGAAAGUAAGGAAGAAAGAUGGAUGUGGAAGAAAGUCACUGCCCAGAGAAUAAGGAGACCUGGAUUCUAAUCUCAGCUCUGCCAUUAACUAGCUGUGAGACUCAAGAAUAACUAAUCAUUUUGAUAACUCGUUUUUUUACUUUUUAAAAUGAGGAGCCAAGUUUAGACAAUGAGCUCGGCUCUUCACCAGUGAUAAAGUGUCUGGGACAUGCUUCCAUUCAAGCAAUGCUCUUCCUUCUUGAUGAAACUAUGGCUCAAAAGGGAAUAAGAGAUCAAGGCAAGCAUGGACAUCUUGUACGUGGAAGUGCAGACCAGAACUUGUAUCACAGCCAGUCAUAUCUGGUGCUUUCCAUGCUACUUUUACAUACAUGUAUCCUUAAAUUUGAUCCUCUUCUAGUUUAGUCUAAACUCUUUACUUUGUAACUUCCAAACCUAAAAGGUGCAGCAGACAUUGACAAUCUUAA
rnacentral:lncRNA from 1 species